GAUGAAGAACGCAGUGAAAUGCGAUAAGUAAUGUGAAUUGCAGAAUCUCGUGAAUCAUCGAAUCUUUGAACGCACAUUGCGCCCUAUGGAAUUCUGUAGGGCAUGCCUGUCUGAGCGUCAGCAGCAAAAAAAUCAAAAUCUUUGUAGGUAAAGAUUUGGAUUUGGUUAAGAGAUGUAAUCUGUAAAGAACCGGUUACUCUUUUGAAAUUUAAAGGCAGUAUUGAUCAAUCCAACUGUAAACGUGAUAAAACAUUUCGUUUUAUUGUUAGGAAUGAGCUUUUUGCUUGCCUAAAAACCCACUCAUCUUCAUGGGUGACCUCAGAUCAGGUAGGGAUACCCGCUGAACUUAAGCAUAUCAAUAAGCGGAGGA
rnacentral:misc_RNA from 1 species